GGCGGGGCGCGGCGCAGCGGGCGGGCCAGCCCGGCGCUGGCCAAGGGGGCACGGCCGCCCCCGCCGCCUCGGCCCGCGGCUCCCGCCGGGGUCGGCAGCGAACAGUUACUUUUAUGCAGUUGAAGUAAUCUACCUCUCACCAUCCCACCCAGCCUUCUGUGCUUCUGCCGAGGCGGCUGAGCGCCAGGAGCUGCUUAGAAGAUAUGAAUGAAAGUCUGGUGUUGUCAUUACGGCUUGUAGCUGAUGGAGCAUAUCGUAUACAAGAUAAGAUAUACAGCCAUUGCUACUCACAGGAUGCAAAUUUGUCCAAUGCACUGGCCAGCCCCUGUAAUUGAACCUACUCCUCACCCUCUCAGCCUGGGAAACCUGUGUUUUGCGCUUCUACCCAUAACAAC